GGUGCUGUGCCGGAUAAAACGGGUUACUUUGAUGUGGUAAAUUAUGAAAAUAAAUAUUUCCAGUGCUU
rnacentral:tRNA from 1 species